CCAGGAAAGAGAAGAGCAUUUGCUCCACGCGGCUAAGAAUGCAGCUUUUAAAUCUAUCUUCCCUGUGUUUACAUGAACUUUCGUUUGCAUUUCAGAAGCCUUAUGGAAGGAUUCCUGUGGCUGACCCGGGAGUAGUGGUGAAUUUCUCCAUCAAGCUAACUUUGGCUCCUCACAUUUCAAACUUUAUUUCUCCUUGACUCCUGGAAUCUAGCAUCAUGACAAGUGCUCUGAAUCUUCCCCUGUGCCCAUAUGCGGAGUGAGUUGUCACAGGAGGCAUCCUGGAGGCCCUCCCACGCAGUAACUCAAGUGUCUGAGAAAUGAGUUGUGUACUUCAAAAUUUCAUUCCACUAACUUCAAAAUAAAUACACAAAUGAAUGUAUAAA